rnacentral:rRNA from 1 species
CACUAGGAGAAGUUCACUCUUAGCAGUGCCUGCCCAGUGCAAAAUUGUAAACGGCCGCCCUAGCGUGAGGGUGCCAAGGUAGCGAAAUUCCUUGCCUUUUAAUUGUAGGCCUGCAUGAAUGGAUUGACGAGGGUCAAGCUGUCUCUUGCCUUGAUGACGAAAUUGGACUAAAGGUGAAGAUACCUUUAUAGAAAAGUUAGACAAGAAGACCCCGUGCAGCUUUAAAAAAGUUACUUAUUAAGAGUUGUAAGAUUUUUAGGUGGGGCGCCUAGGAAGUAAAACUUAACCUUCUUAUCUGUUAAGAAAGGCUCUCAGGCAUAGACCCGGCAAGUCCGAUCAUGGGAGAAGUUACGCCGGGGAUAACAGGCUUAUCCAUUAGUAGAGCUCGUAUUGGCUAAUGGGAUUGGCACCUCGAUGUUGAAUUAAGGAUGAUAGCUCUAAGGCGUAGAAGCUUUAGAAGUGGGUCUGUUCGACCUUUAAUACCUU